rnacentral:lncRNA from 1 species
CUGGCUCAAAGUCGCGACCGCGCAACCUUAGUCGCGAGCGCGAGACCAAGUCGCGAGCGCGUCUUCAACCCUCGCGAGCGCGAGAUGUACCAUUUGAGAGUCAGAGAGGUUUCUGGCUCAAGUCGCGACCGCGCAACACAAGUCGCGAGCGCGAGAUGAAGUCGCGAGCGUGCUUGUGGAGUUCGCGAGCGCAAAAUGCGCAAACUGAGAGUCAGAGAGCUUCUGGCCAA